UUCACCCAGAGAAGAGAGAGGCCCAGGGGCGGUUGCAGUGGGAGGAGCGGCGUCCGGGCAGUGAGUAGUAAAACAGAGCGCGGGGCUUUGCUUUACAGAGGCCCAGGAGCUGUAACAGUGGGAGGAACCCAAAUCUGCAACGUUCCAUUCACAUUUCAUAUAAGUGAGGACGCCGCUGAAUUGUGGAAGCGGACGAGAGGCAGCAGCUGAUUGGGAGUCAGAUCCCUGCU